CAUCAUAGUGUCUACUUCAGAGUUGGUGUGAGAGUUGAAUGAGGAUACUCUCUGUGAGCCCAGCUGCCAUGUUGUGAGGAAGCCCAAGCCACGUGAAGAGUCUCCCAGAUAAGGUCCCAGCCGAAACCAGCAUCAACCACCAGAGAAGUAAGUGAGAGAACAUUGAGAUGAUUCCAGCCCCCAGGCUUUGAGCCAUCCCAGCUGACACCAAGAGGAGCAGAGAGAGAACUGUUCCCAGCAAGCCCGGCCCAAACUGCAGUAACUACUUCCUCAAGUCCAUGGGUGACACUCAAGUUGAGCUAAGAACGGGGAGUAAACACUCAGCAGAAGUAAAGCACAUCGAACGGAUAAGACAUUGGCCAUAAAUGCUUCUGACAGCGCCCCAGCCCAGCUGGGCCAGGCGGAUUCCUGAGCGGGGAGCUCCAACUCCCAUGGGGAACCAAGAGCAAACACCGGGUUUUUACGUGAAUCUCCAGAUUUUUUUUUAAACCUUGUCAAUAAGUUCACAUCAAACAAACAAACAAAAGCACUAUGUGAGUGGAAUGUAUCAGGAGGCAGAUGGGCCACUUCACAGUCUCACUGUUGCCCGAACUCAGGCCUCCUGAUGUAAACACCUGGGAGGUUUGUUACUCAGCAAAUCAGACUAUGCUCAGUGAAAGAAGCCAGUCACAGAAGGACAAAUACUGCAUGAUUCCACUUAU